UUUCUUUUGGUCGUAUCAAAGAUUAGGACUUCAAGAUUCUAUUCUAUAAUACUCCACUCAUUCUUGCUCUAAUUCUUCGUUUUCUCUGCGUAGACAUCUCCGUCUCCAAUCUCCAAUCUCCAUCUCCAUCUCUCUUACGGAUGUAUUAUCUUCUGGGACGUGCGAAAUCGGUAAGCUUUUCCCCCUUAUUUCUAAUUUAUACGCUCUUAUUUGAAGCGAAGAUUUGAUCUUGUGAUAAACCCUAGAAAAUCCGUGACGAUAUUACAAUUGAUUUCCCCCAAUCUUGGUUUCUUUUGAAGCGUAUGUAUUUCUCUUUGAUUCUCAGAUCUAUACCCCUUAUCUUUGUUUUUGUUUUUUGGGUGUGAUUUGAAGUUAGAAAUUUGAUGUUUAACGUGACUGGGUACAUGUAUUUGUUGAUUUAAUUGAUUUAUUAUUAUUGGUUCUCGUUUUGAAUUCCGUUUGAUGGGUAUUUGAAAUUGGGCUCACAGGUGAAAUUUUCGAUGAAGGUGUUGGAUUUUGGCAUCUGUAGUUGAGUUAUGUAAAUUUCUAGGUUUUAUAGAUCAGCCAAGUGUAGAUUUUACUUAUUAGCCGGUUUUUAGAGUGGAAUGUUAGGAAAAGAAGAUGGUAGCGAUGGUGGGAAUGAUGGUGACGGUGGUGGUGGUGCAGGAGCACCUCCGCCAAUCUCCGGUAACCGGAAAAUGUAUUGGCGGUCUGCUUCCUGGUCUUCUUCUCGGAUGUCUUUGCCACCACUUAUUCCUGAGAGUGAGAAAGAUUGUAUAGAACCAAAUGGAGCUAAUGGUGGUAACAGUAGGAGGUUUCCUGCCCCAUUAACCCCUAGAUCGAAUAGUAAAGGUCGGUCCCUUCUGCCCCCGAUCUCAAUUGCUAGAAGAAGCUUAGAUGAGUGGCCUAAAGCGGGUUCAGAUGACAUUGGCGAGUGGCCACUUCCUAGCACACCUAGGGGCAGAGAUUCGAGCAACGGUGGAGAAAGGUUAAAGCUUGAUUUGUCCACAAUUCAAAGGAUCCCAGAUAAGAACGCGGGGCUUGGCAAAAGAGAAAAAAUUGCAUUCUUUGAUAAGAAAUGCUCAAAAGUUGCUGACCAUGUUUUCCUUGGUGGUGAUGCGGUUGCAAGAGACAAAGACAUACUUAAACAACACGGAAUCACCCAUAUUCUCAACUGUGUCGGUUUCGUAUGCCCUGAAUAUUUCAAAGCGAAUUUUGUUUAUCGAACUUUAUGGUUACAAGAUAGCCCUUCAGAAGAUAUCACAAGCAUAUUGUAUGAUGUUUUUGAUUACUUUGAAGAUGUUAGAGAACAAAAUGGAGCUGUUUUCGUGCAUUGUUGCCAAGGGGUUUCCCGAUCCACUUCAUUAGUAAUCGCUUAUCGGAUGUGGAGAGAAGGGCAGAGUUUCGAUGACGCCUUUCAAUACGUCAAGGCGGCUAGAGGGAUUGCCGAUCCAAAUAUGGGAUUUGCAUGCCAAUUGUUACAAUGCCAAAAAAGGGUUCAUGCAUUUCCUUUGAGUCCAAGUUCAUUACUUAGAUUAUAUAGAAUAGCUCCUCAUUCCCCAUAUGAUCCUUUGCAUCUUGUUCCAAAAAUGUUGAAUUCCCCUUCUCCAGCUGCUCUAGAUUCGAGAGGUGCGUUUAUUAUACACGUACCUUCGACAAUCUAUGUUUGGAUUGGUCAGAAAUGUGAAUCUAUUAUGGAACGUGAUGCAAGAGGCGCUGUUUGCCAGAUUAUUCGAUAUGAAAAAGUUCAGGGACCGAUUGUUGUAGUCAAGGAAGGAGAAGAACCAUCCUAUUUUUGGGAUGCUUUUUCUACUUUUCUACCUUUGAUGGAUGUUAUUGAGUCGUCUAAAGUCACCCCUGGUAAAAGAAUAGUUGAUUCGUAUAAUGUCGACUUUGAGAUUUUUCAGAAAGCAAUUGUUGGUGGAUUUGUGCCACCAUUUGCAUCAUCCGAAACUGAGCAGGAAACUCACCUUCCGGCAAGAGAAAGUACUUGGAGUGUUUUGAGGCGUAAGUUUGCAUUUGGAAACAUGAAGGAAUUCGUUUUUGCUUCCAAAUCAUCCAUUUCUAGAGUUUAUCCAGAUUCUGGUUCGAUUCUUGGUACAGAAAACAAUUCUGUGUCUAAACCGUUUCUCAUUUCUUCAAAUUCUUUAUUAUCACCAUCAUUUUCGUCAUCUUCAUCAUCAUCCUCUCAUCUUUCCCCAGAUUCCAUAUCUUCUUCUGAUUCAAGCGUUAACUCCAAGUGUUGCUCGGACUCUCCUGCCAUAUCUCCUCGAGUAGCAUCGUGUAAUCAUGCUUUAUCAUUAUCAAACUUAUCACUCGUUCCAACAAAACUUUCUCCUCAUUCUAUAUCUAAAACUUCAGAGUUCAUUGAUGUCAAUUUUACUUCCAACCCAUUGUCACCAUCAAAAAGGUCUUCGCUUUCUAUAGCUGAACGUAGAGGGGGACCUCCUAAAUGUCUUAAGCUGCCAAUGGUGAGUGAUGGUUCCAAGGCCUGUGAACAAGAAAAUGUCAAGUUGAAUUACUCGGGUUUUACACAACAGGGACCAAAUCAAGAAUUGCUGUCUCAGGGUUCUUCAUGUUCAAAAGGCUCAGUUUCGGAAGGUGCUUUCAAUCAAACUUCUGGUGGGUCAAAUAACAUCGAUUUAAUGGAGGAAAAUGAAUUGGGUAGUGAGAAUGUAAAGCAACCGGUGGUGGCACGAGAAUGGCCUAGUUUAAAGAAAGUUGUAAGAUUUGAUUAUGGUGAUUUGGAUUCCCGACAGAUGUUCAUUUUCACUGCUCCUAGUUCAGGUUAUGGAAAAUUAGAAAAAUCCGUACUUUACUUAUGGGUAGGGAAAGAUUUCAGGCAUCACAGCAGGAAUGCACCUGGGACAAGCGAAGGGCGUGCUGAACCACCAUAUUUUGACAUGAAAUGAAAGAAGUUAUUAACGAUGUUCGCACUCAAAAUGAGCCUGUCAGACGACACUCAUAUCAAGGUCGUGAAGCAAGAUGAAGAAUCUUCAGAAUUCCUUCCGCUGCCGAGUACUUUGUAGGACGAAGUUAAUCAGAGGUCCUGCAAUCUUCCAUAAUAUUCCAGUGAAAGAUGCUGAAAAAUACAUGAAGGUACCGAGGCCAUGCCUUUUCUGAUAAGGGCUGAUUGCAACAAAUUCCUUCUUGGAAUUCUCCAGAAAACGGUGUGACGUUUUGCAUUCAGCAAAGUUCGAAGCCGGAAGGGUUGUUUGUCCAUUGUUAUUAUCACAUGUACAGCGUAUUCGUUUCGGUGUACAAAAUCAUCUAGUUUGUGUUAUUAUUGAAGGAAGUUUUAGAUUCAUGCA